rnacentral:rRNA from 1 species
UACGAAGGGGGCUAGCGUUGUUCGGAAUUACUGGGCGUAAAGCGCGCGCAGGCGGUCUUCCAAGUCAGUGGUGAAAGCCUGGAGCUCAACUCCAGAACUGCCAUUGAAACUGUUAGACUUGAGUUCGGGAGAGGUGAGUGGAACUGCGAGUGUAGAGGUGAAAUUCGUAGAUAUCAAGCAGAACACCUGCGGCGAAGGCGGCCUUCUGGACGAUGACUGACGCUGAGACACGAAAGCGUGGGGAGCAAACAGG